rnacentral:rRNA from 1 species
GCUUGUCUCAAAGAUUAAGCCAUGCAUGUCUAAGUAUAAAUGGUAUACAGUAAAACUGCGAAUGGCUCAUUAAAACAGUUAUAGUUUAUUUGGUAAUCGAAUUUACAUGGAUAACCGUGGUAAUUCUAGAGCUAAUACAUGCUGUAAAGCCCGACUUCUCGGAAGGGCCGUAUUUAUUAGAUAACAGACCAGCAGCUUCGGCUAUUGUGGUGAAUCAUAGUAACUAAUCGGAUCGCAUGGGCUAGUCCCGCGACAAACCAUUCAAGUUUCUGCCCCAUCAGCUUUCGACGGUAGUGUAUUGGACUACCGUGGCUUUUACGGGUAACGGAGGAUUAGGGUUCGAUUCCGGAGAGGGAGCCUGAGAAACGGCUACCACAUCUAAGGAAGGCAGCAGG